rnacentral:rRNA from 1 species
UCCCAGACUCCUACGGGAGGCAGCAGUGGGGAAUAUUGCACAAUGGGGGAAACCCUGAUGCAGCGACGCCGCGUGAGUGAGGAAGUAUUUCGGUAUGUAAAGCUCUAUCAGCAGGGAAGAAAAUGACGGUACCUGACCAAGAAGCCCCGGCUAACUACGUGCCAGCAGCCGCGGUAAUACGUAGGGGGCAAGCGUUAUCCGGAUUUACUGGGUGUAAAGGGAGCGUAGGCGGCUGUGUAAGCCAGAAGUGAAAGCCCGGGGCUCAACUCCGGGACUGCUUUUGGAACUACAUGGCUUGAUUGCAGGAGAGGCAAGUGGAAUUCCUAGUGUAGCGGUGAAAUGCGUAGAUAUUAGGAGGAACACCAGUGGCGAAGGCGGCUUACUGGACUGUAACUGACGUUGAGGCUCGAAAGCGUGGGGAGCAAACAGGAUUAGAUACCCCUGUA